GAGAAUAUACUUGGGAAGUAUAGGUCUUGGUAGGCUUUUGGUUCGUGGUUCAGGGGUUUCAGCAGGCUGAUAACAGGAACAAGGGAGAAAGGGAGUUAUAUUAUUGAAUCUUGUAAUCGUUGUUAUUAUUGAUUAAUAAUAUAAUCUCUUACCAGUUGGUAGGGGACCAGGACGUAGACCAUUAGGGUUAGGGGUCGAACCUGGCUAAAAUUCUUGGUGUUGCUAGCAUACUGC
rnacentral:lncRNA from 1 species